GGUCAUGUAGCUCAGUCUGGUUCAGAGCAGCGGCGAUGUUAGGUUAGUUGUGCAAAAAACAUUCUGAUUGAUACAAAGCCUGCAGAUCGCUGGUUCAAAUCCAGCCAUGGCCG
rnacentral:tRNA from 1 species